UACGGAGGGUGCAAGCGUUGUUCGGAAUUACUGGGCGUAAAGCGCGUGUAGGCGGCUUGGCAAGUCGAAUGUGAAGCCCGGGCUUAACCCGGGAACUGCAUCGAAACUGCCUCGCUAGAGUCUCGGAGAGGAAGGCAGAAUUCCAGUGUAGGGGUGAAAUCCGUAGAUACUGGAGGAACACCAAUGGCGAAGGCAGCACUCUGGACGUGACUGACGCUGAGACGCGAAAGCGUGGGGAGCAAACAGG
rnacentral:rRNA from 1 species